GCCCUCAUGGCUUAAUGGUAAAGCGCAUCACUAGUAAUGAUGAGAUUCUGUGUUCGAUUCACAGUGAGGGCA